GAUGAACGCUGGCGGCGUGCCUAAUACAUGCAAGUCGAGCGAACGGACGAGAGGCUUGCUUCUCUGAUGUUAGCGGCGGACGGGUGAGUAACACGUGGAUAACCUACCUAUAAGACUGGGAUAACUUCGGGAAACCGGAGCUAAUACCGGAUAAUAUUUUGAACCGCAUGGUUCAAAAGUGAAAGACGGUCUUGCUGUCACUUAUAGAUGGAUCCGCGCUGCAUUAGCUAGUUGGUAAGGUAGCGGCUUACCAAGGCAACGAUGCAUAGCCGACCUGAGAGGGUGAUCGGCCACACUGGAACUGAGACACGGUCCAGACUCCUACGGGAGGCAGCAGUAGGGAAUCUUCCGCAAUGGGCGAAAGCCUGACGGAGCAACGCCGCGUGAGUGAUGAAGGUCUUCGGAUCGUAAAACUCUGUUAUUAGGGAAGAACAUAUGUGUAAGUAACUGUGCACAUCUUGACGGUACCUAAUCAGAAAGCCACGGCUAACUACGUG
rnacentral:rRNA from 1 species